UAACUUUAUGCAAAUUCCCACGACAAGUAGCCCCGCCGCACGCUCGGCUCUCCACUGCCUUAACCCGAAAGUUCCAAAUCCGGUAAGGGUUCUUUCGUUUUGCAAUCGAUCCUUGACAUUUCGGCGUUAGGUUAGGGUUCGAAUCGAUGGCAGAGCACUUGGCAUCAAUUUUUGGGACGGAGAAAGAUCGUGUGAAUUGCCCCUUCUACUUCAAGAUCGGGGCCUGCCGGCAUGGAGAUCGGUGUUCGAGGCUACACACACGGCCGAGCAUCAGUCCAACCCUACUCCUUUCCAACAUGUACCAGCGCCCCGACAUGAUUACAACAGGCGUCGAUCCGCAGGCCCAGGCGAUGGAUCCUCGCAAGAUCCAGGAGCACUUCGAGAAUUUCUACGAGGAUCUAUUUGAAGAGCUGAGUAAAUAUGGUGAACUUGAGAGCCUGAAUGUAUGCGACAAUUUGGCUGAUCAUAUGGUGGGUAAUGUGUAUGUUCAGUUCAGAGAGGAAGAGCACGCCGCCAACGCUGUUCGUAAUUUGACUGGAAGGUUUUAUGCAGGGCGUCCAAUUAUUGUUGAUUUCUCUCCUGUUACUGAUUUCCGUGAGGCUACCUGUCGGCAAUAUGAAGAGAACACUUGUAAUAGGGGUGGUUAUUGCAAUUUCAUGCAUUUAAAGAAGAUUAGCAGGGAAUUAAGGCGACAGUUGUUUGGGAGAUCUCAUCGGAGGCAUAGCAGAAGCCGCAGUAGGAGCCAUAGUCCUCAUAGACGCCGUAACUAUGAAGAUCGAAGAAGGCCACAUGAUGAUCGAGGCAGGAGGCCUAGGAGCAGAAGUCCUGGUCAUAGGAAAGGACGUAGUAGGAGCCCCGGGGGCAGGAAUAAUAGAAGCCCAGUUAGGGAAGGUAGUGCUGAAAGGAGGGCCAAAAUUGAGCAAUGGAACAGGGAAAGGGAACAGGCAGAACAGGCUAAUAAGCCUAGCAACAUCAAUAACCAUAGUAGCAAUGGAUCCCGUCAGAAUGGGGGGCACCAUCACGAACAGCCAUAUGGAAAUCAUGAAGAGUACUUUUACUGACGUAUGGCUUUUCCAGGUGGUGUGCAGCAUUUUUUUGGAAGGAAUUCUUUUGUGGAGUGAAAAGAAGAAGAAGAAGAAAAAAAGUUCAGGCUUAAAUGGAAUUGUGCAGGUUUUUGGGGCAUUUGCAGAAAGAAUUGAACAGGAGUGGCAGCCAAUGCAAAGCUAUCAUUGAAAGUUUGCUCUAUCUGACCAACUUAGGAUGUGAAAUGCUACCGCCUGAGUGUAAGGACAAAGGAUUUUCUUCACUGACAAUGCCAUCUUGCAUUUGUUUUCUAUUCAGCCUGGAAUAAUUGUUCUAUUUGAACAUCUUAGGGUUUAGGGGAGUUACUGUUUGCUUACUUCUUCUGAAGCUAGAACCUUGUUUUCAAAUUUCCUGUUCUGUAUCCUUUUAACUUUUAAUUCAACUGCUUAUAUGAUGUGAUGUGCUUGUUGUUGUAAGAAUGUGAUGAUCCUACUUUGUAACGAUACUUAUUGGAUUGAAAGAUUUCUCUCUGAAAUCUUAAAUUUUA